rnacentral:rRNA from 1 species
CUGGCGGCGUGCCUAAUACAUGCAAGUCGAGCGGACGGAUGGGAGCUUGCUCCCUGAUGUUAGCGGCGGACGGGUGAGUAACACGUGGGUAACCUGCCUGUAAGACUGGGAUAACUCCGGGAAACCGGGGCUAAUACCGGAUGCUUGUUUGAACCGCAUGGUUCAAACAUAAAAGGUGGCUUCGGCUACCACUUACAGAUGGACCCGCGGCGCAUUAUCUAGUUGGUGAGGUAACGGCUCACCAAGGCAACGAUGCGUAGCCGACCUGAGAGGGUGAUCGGCCACACUGGGACUGAGACACGGCCCAGACUCCUACGGGAGGCAGCAGUAGGGAAUCUUCCGCAAUGGACGAAAGUCUGACGGAGCAACGCCGCGUGAGUGAUGAAGGUUUUCGGAUCGUAAAGCUCUGUUGUUAGGGAAGAACAAGUACCGUUCGAAUAGGGCGGUACCUUGACGGUACCUAACCAGAAAGCCACGGCUAACUACGUGCCAGCAGCCGCGGUAAUACGUAUGUGGCAAGCGUUGUCCGGAAUUAUUGGGCGUAAAGGGCUCGCACGCGGUUUCUUAAGUCUGAUGUGAAAGCCCCCGGCUCACCGGGGAGGGUCAUUGUAAACUGGGGAACUUGAGUGCGAAGAGGAGAGUGUGAUUCUACGUGUAUCGGUGAAAUGCGUAUAGAUGUGGAGGAACACCAGUGGCGAAGCGACUCUCUGGUCUGUAACUGACGCUGAGGAGCGAAAGCGUGGGGAGCGAACAGGAUUAUAUACCCUGGGAGUCCACGCCGUAAACGAUGAGUGCUAAUGUAUGGGGUUUCCGCCCCUUAUGCCUGCAGCUACAGCAUAUAAGCACCUCCCGCCCUGGGGAGUACGGCCGCAGGACUGAAACUCCAAGGAGAUUGACGGGGGCCCGCCACAAGCGGUUGGAGCAUGUUGUUUAUUCUGAGCACAGCGAGAACCUUACCAGGUCUUGACAUCUCUGACAUCCUAGAGAUAGACGUUCCCCUCGGGCCAGA